GUGUGUGUGUUAGUGGAAGCGUCUGGAAAGGCGUGCGAUACAGGGUGACAGCCCCGUACACAAAAAUGCACAUACUGUGAGCUCGAUGAGUAGGGCGGGACACGUGGUAUCCUGUCUGAAUAUGGGGGGACCAUCCUCCAAGGCUAAAUACUCCUGACUGACCGAUAGUGAACCAGUACCGUGAGGGAAAGGCGAAAAGAACCCCGGCGAGGGGAGUGAAAAAGAACCUGAAACCGUGUACGUACAAGCAGUGGGAGCACGCUUAGGCGUGUGACUGCGUACCUUUUGUAUAAUGGGUCAGCGACUUAUAUUCUGUAGCAAGGUUAACCGAAUAGGGGAGCCGAAGGGAAACCGAGUCUUAACUGGGCGUUAAGUUGCAGGGUAUAGACCCGAAACCCGGUGAUCUAGCCAUGGGCAGGUUGAAGGUUGGGUAACACUAACUGGAGGACCGAACCGACUAAUGUUGAAAAAUUAGCGGAUGACUUGUGGCUGGGGGUGAAAGGCCAAUCAAACCGGGAGAUAGCUGGUUCUCCCCGAAAGCUAUUUAGGUAGCGCCUCGUGAAUUCAUCUCCGGGGGUAGAGCACUGUUUCGGCAAGGGGGUCAUCCCGACUUACCAACCCGAUGCAAACUGCGAAUACCGGAGAAUGUUAUCACGGGAGACACACGGCGGGUGCUAACGUCCGUCGUGAAGAGGGAAACAACCCAGACCGCCAGCUAAGGUCCCAAAGUCAUGGUUAAGUGGGAAACGAUGUGGGAAGGCCCAGACAGCCAGGAUGUUGGCUUAGAAGCAGCCAUCAUUUAAAGAAAGCGUAAUAGCUCACUGGUCGAGUCGGCCUGCGCGGAAGAUGUAACGGGGCUAAACCAUGCACCGAAGCUGCGGCAGCGACGCUUAUGCGUUGUUGGGUAGGGGAGCGUUCUGUAAGCCUGUGAAGGUGUGCUGUGAGGUAUGCUGGAGGUAUCAGAAGUGCGAAUGCUGACAUAAGUAACGAUAAAGCGGGUGAAAAGCCCGCUCGCCGGAAGACCAAGGGUUCCUGUCCAACGUUAAUCGGGGCAGGGUGAGUCGACCCCUAAGGCGAGGCCGAAAGGCGUAGUCGAUGGGAAACAGGUUAAUAUUCCUGUACUUGGUGUUACUGCGAAGGGGGGACGGAGAAGGCUAUGUUGGCCGGGCGACGGUUGUCCCGGUUUAAGCGUGUAGGCUGGUUUUCCAGGCAAAUCCGGAAAAUCAAGGCCGAGGCGUGAUGACGAGGCACUACGGUGCUGAAGCAACAAAUGCCCUGCUUCCAGGAAAAGCCUCUAAGCAUCAGGUAACAUCAAAUCGUACCCCAAACCGACACAGGUGGUCAGGUAGAGAAUACCAAGGCGCUUGAGAGAACUCGGGUGAAGGAACUAGGCAAAAUGGUGCCGUAACUUCGGGAGAAGGCACGCUGAUACGUAGGUGAAGCGACUUGCUCGUGGAGCUGAAAUCAGUCGAAGAUACCAGCUGGCUGCAACUGUUUAUUAAAAACACAGCACUGUGCAAACACGAAAGUGGACGUAUACGGUGUGACGCCUGCCCGGUGCCGGAAGGUUAAUUGAUGGGGUUAGCGCAAGCGAAGCUCUUGAUCGAAGCCCCGGUAAACGGCGGCCGUAACUAUAACGGUCCUAAGGUAGCGAAAUUCCUUGUCGGGUAAGUUCCGACCUGCACGAAUGGCGUAAUGAUGGCCAGGCUGUCUCCACCCGAGACUCAGUGAAAUUGAACUCGCUGUGAAGAUGCAGUGUACCCGCGGCAAGACGGAAAGACCCCGUGAACCUUUACUAUAGCUUGACACUGAACAUUGAGCCUUGAUGUGUAGGAUAGGUGGGAGGCUUUGAAGUGUGGACGCCAGUCUGCAUGGAGCCGACCUUGAAAUACCACCCUUUAAUGUUUGAUGUUCUAACGUGGACCCGUGAUCCGGGUUGCGGACAGUGUCUGGUGGGUAGUUUGACUGGGGCGGUCUCCUCCUAAAGAGUAACGGAGGAGCACGAAGGUUGGCUAAUCCUGGUCGGACAUCAGGAGGUUAGUGCAAUGGCAUAAGCCAGCUUGACUGCGAGCGUGACGGCGCGAGCAGGUGCGAAAGCAGGUCAUAGUGAUCCGGUGGUUCUGAAUGGAAGGGCCAUCGCUCAACGGAUAAAAGGUACUCCGGGGAUAACAGGCUGAUACCGCCCAAGAGUUCAUAUCGACGGCGGUGUUUGGCACCUCGAUGUCGGCUCAUCACAUCCUGGGGCUGAAGUAGGUCCCAAGGGUAUGGCUGUUCGCCAUUUAAAGUGGUACGCGAGCUGGGUUUAGAACGUCGUGAGACAGUUCGGUCCCUAUCUGCCGUGGGCGCUGGAGAACUGAGGGGGGCUGCUCCUAGUACGAGAGGACCGGAGUGGACGCAUCACUGGUGUUCGGGUUGUCAUGCCAAUGGCACUGCCCGGUAGCUAAAUGCGGAAGAGAUAAGUGCUGAAAGCAUCUAAGCACGAAACUUGCCCCGAGAUGAGUUCUCCCUGACCCUUUAAGGGUCCUGAAGGAACGUUGAAGACGACGACGUUGAUAGGCCGGGUGUGUAAGCGCAGCGAUGCGUUGAGCUAACCGGUACUAAUGAACCGUGAGGCUUAACCUU
rnacentral:rRNA from 1 species